UACGAAGGACCCAAGCGUUAUCCGGAUUUAUUGGGUUUAAAGGGUGCGUAGGCGGGUUAUUAAGUCAGUGGUGAAAGCUUCCGGCUCAACCGGAAAAUUGCCAUUGAUACUGAUGAUCUUGAGUAUGAUUGAGGUGGGCGGAAUGUGUCAUGAGCGGUGAAAUGCUUAGAUAUGACACAGAACACCGAUUGCGAAGGCAGCUCACUAAGCCAUAACUGACGCUGAUGCACGAAAGCGUGGGGAGCAAACAGG
rnacentral:rRNA from 1 species